GCUGGAGGACUGAACAGGUUCUAGGACCGGAGCUGGAGUACAACGCCUCAAGGCUGAAUAGGUGGCGGACAGCGCGCCCUGUUGGACGGAAGGAUGACACAUAAUAAACAUCAAUAAAUGGGUUGCCGGGAGUUGAAGUCUAUCCAGCCGAGACCUGGAGCCUAGACUAAAUCACACGGUUUGAGGUCCCUGUAGAUGAUUCCCAAGCUGUGCAAGUGGUCCAAUGCCAAAGCCAAUUCUGCAAGGUGCAUGAAUCAUCCAAGCAUCAUAUUACUUACUGACCGACAACCUAGCAGCCGCCUGCCCGCUGGUUUGCUCAUCUGUCUGAGUGCAUUCCCAAGACGCCUGCCUCUCUCUCGGGCAAAGCAGCGUCCAGCUGAGGUGUCCUGGACCCCCCGGACAGGCAACGACAUUGGUGACACAGCAGCAGCAGUGACCUCACGCCACAUUCCAUCCCACAACAAACCAAAGGACACACAGCACUACCAUGCUGCAUAGCAGUUUUUGAAAACCCAGCCAUACAAUGGACAUUGUAAACACCUUGAGCUCAUGUCAUUAAGAUGAUCUACAACAUACCUACACAGUUUGAUGGUUGAAAAGCCCUAUAAUGCACAGGAAGCAGGAAAUAUGUCGCUGGAUCAUUAAAACAAAUGACCAAUGCUACAAACGUGACCCACCUCCAGCUGACAGAAUCCCGUCGCGUUCUUGUUCCGGGCGGCCUUGUUCUUCAGGUAGAUGGAAAACCAUCUCUUCAC